UGGGGAAUAUUGGACAAUGGGGGGAACCCUGAUCCAGCCAUGCCGCGUGUGUGAAGAAGGCCUUCUGGUUGUAAAGCACUUUAAGCGAGGAGGAGGGUACUGGUAUUAAUACUACCAGGUACUGGACGUUACUCGCAGAAUAAGCACCGGCUAACUCUGUGCCAGCAGCCGCGGUAAUACAGAGGGUGCGAGCGUUAAUCGGAUUUACUGGGCGUAAAGCGUGCGUAGGCGGCUAAUUGAGUCGGAUGUGAAAUCCCCGAGCUUAACUUGGGAAGUGCAGUCGAUACUGGUUAGCUAGAGUGUGGGAGAGGAUGGUAGAAUUCCAGGUGUAGCGGUGAAAUGCGUAGAGAUCUGGAGGAAUACCGAUGGCGAAGGCAGCCAUCUGGCCUAACACUGACGCUGAGGUACGAAAGCAUGGGGAGCAAACAGG
rnacentral:rRNA from 1 species